ACCAGGAGCUCUUACUCCAUCUCUCAAA
rnacentral:piRNA from 1 species